CCCCUAGAUGUUCUGGGCCGCACGCGCGCUACACUGACUACUUCAACGAGUUGUUUCCUUGAUCGAAAGGUCUGGGUAAUCUUUGAAAGGUAGUCGUGAUGGGGAUAGAUCCUUGCAAUUUUUGAUCUUCAACGAGGAAUUCCUAGUAAACGCAAGUCAUCAGCUUGCAUUGAUUACGUCCCUGCCCUUUGUACACACCGCCCGUCGCACCUACCGAUUGAAUGGUCCGGUGAAUCUUUAGGACUGUGGCUGAGGCCUUGCCUUGUGCGGGUCUGGCCGUGGGAAUUUAGUUAAACCUUACCAUUUAGAGGAAGGUGAAGUCGUANCA
rnacentral:rRNA from 1 species